CCUACGGGAGGCAGCAGUGGGGAAUCUUGCGCAAUGGGCGAAAGCCUGACGCAGCCAUGCCGCGUGAAUGAUGAAGGUCUUAGGAUUGUAAAAUUCUUUCACCGGGGACGAUAAUGACGGUACCCGGAGAAGAAGCCCCGGCUAACUUCGUGCCAGCAGCCGCGGUAAUACGAAGGGGGCUAGCGUUGCUCGGAAUUACUGGGCGUAAAGGGAGCGUAGGCGGAUAGUUUAGUCAGAGGUGAAAGCCCAGGGCUCAACCUUGGAAUUGCCUUUGAUACUGGCUAUCUUGAGUAUGGGAGAGGUUA
rnacentral:rRNA from 1 species